rnacentral:misc_RNA from 1 species
AAGUCGUAACAAGGUUUCCGUAGGUGAACCUGCGGAAGGAUCAUUACAAAUCCCAAAAAAAACUCGUUGAAAUGUUCUCGGCCUUGGGAUGUCGUUUAUGAAGAGAUGCAUUGUAUGAUGUGUAGAUGAUUUCUGUAAUUACUACUGUCGUCCAUCAUCACUCGUAAACGAUAUUAUAGAGAUAGUCGCUUUGUGAUGAAAAUUAAAUCAUCAUUUCAGUAGUCUCGCAAACCAAGGUCCGAUUUAAUGACUUUAUCUUUUGGCCAUAUUUAUAAGAGUCGUUAAUUCGACAAACAUAAACAACUUUUAACAAUGGAUCUCUAGGCUCUU